rnacentral:pre_miRNA from 1 species
AUUGUACUCCCUCCGUUCUGAAUUACUUGUCGUAGGUAUGGAUGUAUCUAGAUGUAUUUUAGUUCUAGAUACAUCCAUUUCUGCGACAAGUAAUUUGGAACGGAGGGAGUAGUUG